UGAGCAUAUUUUCUUUAAAAGCUUAACAAAUUUAUCCUGCUGAAAGAAAAUCUUGUGUUGAUCCUUUUUGAUUUUGCCUUUAUGAGGGUAAGAUCAUGACCGAAUGACAUGGACAAUU